GGUUCGAUCAUGGCUCAGAUUGAACGCUGGCGGGAUGCUUUACACAUGCAAGUCGAACGGCAGCACGGACUUCGGUCUGGUGGCGAGUGGCGAACGGGUGAGUAACGUAUCGGAACGUGCCUAGUAGCGGGGGAUAACUACGCGAAAGCGUAGCUAAUACCGCAUACGCCCUUCGGGAAAGCGGGGACCUUCGGGCCUCGCACUAUUAGAGCGGCCGAUAUCGGAUUAGCUAGUUGCGUAACGGCUCACCAAGGCGACGAUCCGUAGCUGGUUUGAGAGGACGACCAGCCACACUGGGACCGAGACACGGCCUGUGACUCCUACGGGAGGCAGCAGUGAGGAAUUUUGGACAAUGGGGGAAACCCUGAUCCAGCCAUCCCGCGUGUGCGAUGAAGGCCUUCUGGUUGUAAAGCACUUUUGGCAGGAAGAAACGGCAGGACGGGAUAAUACCCCGU
rnacentral:misc_RNA from 1 species